rnacentral:rRNA from 1 species
UACGGGGGGGCAAGCGUUGUUCGGAAUUACUGGGCGUAAAGGGCUCGUAGGCGGCCAACUAAGUCAGACGUGAAAUCCCUCGGCUUAACCGGGGAACUGCGUCUGAUACUGGAUGGCUUGAGUUUGGGAGAGGGAUGCGGAAUUCCAGGUGUAGCGGUGAAAUGCGCAGAUAUCAGGAAGAACACCCGUGGCGAAGGCGGCUUCUGGGACGGUACUGACGCUGAGACGCGAAAGCGUGGGGAGCGAACAGG